AAUCAGGCCAGAAAAAAGUAGAAGUCAAAAUCAGGCAGGAGAGAGAGAGAGAGAGAGAGAGAGAGAGAGAGAGAGAAGCAGCAGCAAAAAUUUAUUGGAAAAAGAGAGACUGUUCGAAUUUGAGAGAGAGGGUAGGGUGAUCAAUUUGCCUGCCGGAGAAAAUGGAGGUAAUAGAGGUAGAAGACAAUGGUGGGUACAGUCUAAAACCAAAUCGUUUAGCGAGCGAAGACAUACUGUUCUGCAUAGAUGUGGACAGCGAAUCACUCGUGGAAAUGAAAGUUUCAACUACAGCGGGUGGGCGACCCUAUACGAGGUUGGACACUAUGAAGCAAGCCAUCAUUCUCUUCAUCAAUGCAAAGCUCACUAUCAACCCUGAUCACCGUUUCGCUUUUGCUGGUCUUGCUGCUAUGAAGCAAGCUAUCGUUCUCUUUAUCAAUGCAAAGCUCACUAUCAACCCUGAUCACCGUUUCGCUUUUGCUGGUCUUGCCAAAUCUGCUUUUCUGGUACUUUCCUAAUUUCGUUUC
rnacentral:lncRNA from 1 species